UACGUAGGGGGCAAGCGUUGUCCGGAUUCAUUGGGCGUAAAGAGCUCGUAGGCGGCUUGUCGCGUCGACUGUGAAAACCCGUGGCUCAACCAUGUGGUCUGCAGUCGAUACGGGCAGGCUAGAAUUCGGUAGGGGAGACGUGGAAUUCCUGGUGUAGCGGUGAAAUGCGCAGAUAUCAGGAGGAACACCGGUGGCGAAGGCGGGUCUCUGGGCCGAUAUUGACGCUGAGGAGCGAAAGCGUGGGGAGCGAACAGG
rnacentral:rRNA from 1 species